rnacentral:rRNA from 1 species
UCUUUAUGUAAAUAUUUGUUUUUGUUAAUAAGUUGUUUAAUAAUUUAAAAAUAAAUAUUGCAUUGUGUUGGGGAGACAGAAGUAUAAAUAGUGUAACUGCUUGUGUUUAAAUACUUAUAAUAUUUGUUUAUUUUUAAAGAUCCUUUUGAAGAUUUAAAGAAUAAGUU